UUGUUGCUCAGCAAGUAUGAAAACAGUAGUUUGCAAGGCGGAGUUAUCCUUUCCAGCCUUUAAGUAGGGUAAUUAUAAGGAGUAAUAGAGACAGAUAAUGAUAAGAAAAGCAUGCGAUGUCUCUGUUGAAGCGUUAAAGGCGUUUGGCGGCGUCUAAACUAUGAGACCUGAGCUGAUAGCUCUGAGACGGUCAAGUGGCCCUAAUCCUCUUCCGUACACUCUGGAAUCUCUUUUACCUCAGGAAUCUGUCAGCGUGCAGCGAGUCGGGGAAUUCUGACUCCGAGGAUCGGGCCUCUGGCGGGAUCCUGUUUCGAUACUCUUUCACACAAAGUGCUUCAAGAGUGCAGGACGCGUCAUUAGACUCCCCGGGCUCCUGGGGCAGAAGCUUCAGAUGUUUGUUUUCCUUUAACAGAUCUCACAAGAUGGAGGGAAAUCUACUAAAGCCUGCAUGAAGCCCCUGGAAGAUUUGCAGUAUGUUAGCAAAACUUGUCAUUAUUAUCUUAAAGAAAAAAAGCAAAAUAAAAAUCAAAUAAUUUUCCUCAAUGAA